UACGUAGGGUGCAAGCGUUAAUCGGAAUACUGGGCGUAAAGCGUGCGCAGGCGGUGAUGUAAGACAGAUGUGAAAUCCCCGAGCUCAACUUGGGAACUGCAUUUGUGACUGCAUCGCUGGAGUGCGGCAGAGGGGGAUGGAAUUCCGCGUGUAGCAGUGAAAUGCGUAGAUAUGCGGAGGAACACCGAUGGCGAAGGCAAUCCCCUGGGCCUGCACUGACGCUCAUGCACA
rnacentral:rRNA from 1 species